rnacentral:misc_RNA from 1 species
CAGUUUUAUUUUUAUGAUAAGACAGUGACAUAAAAGAUUAAUAACAGUCAAACAAUUUCUAAAUUAAGUUUUAGCAUGAUAAAAUCGAAAUAAUUUGGCAUGGGAUCAUUUACAAGUAAAGAUACUAGACGCAUUAGUUUUGAUAAUACAUUUGAAUUAAAUUCCGCUUUAGCUAUUCAUAAUUCUAUUCAAAACGAAAAUGUUAUGGGAUUAGAAAGGUUGCAGCCGGAUGUUGGUGAUGAAAUUAUUUUCAAGGGAAUUAAUAAGAAUUUGAAAGAAGAAUCUAAUGCAGAAGAUGACAUAAGUUACUGGUCUCGUAGAAUUGAAAAUCUUAAAAGGGAACAUCAAAUAAUUAAUCAAAUUGUCGAAGCAGAGUAUGAUGAAAAAAUUAAAAGUGCAAAUCAGAUUUUCCAGCCUCCUGAAAUAACUCACAAAAAGAUUCAAAAAAUUAAACCAUGUUUUGAUUGGAGAGCUAAGGCCCCAGAUAUCAACGACUUCACAAUAGUGAAGCCGAUAAGUCGUGGUGCUUUUGGAAAAGUAUUUCUUGCCCACAAAAAGAACAACCCGGAGCUAAUGUAUGCCAUCAAAGUUAUGAAAAAAUCAGAUAUGAUAAAUAAGAACAUGGUAACUCAAGUGGUGACAGAGCGUAAUGCUCUAGCAUUAUCGAGGAGUCCUUUCUGUGUCCAUUUAUAUUACUCCCUGCAGUCUACUUCAUCUGUUUAUUUGGUAAUGGAAUACAUGGUUGGUGGUGACUUGAAGUCUCUGCUGGGUGUGUAUGGAUUCCUUGAAGAAUCAAUGGCUGUUUUUUAUGUAGCCGAGGUCACAUUGGCUCUAGACUACUUGCACAAACAUAAUAUAGUGCACAGGGAUCUCAAGCCAGACAAUAUGCUAAUUUCAAAAACUGGACAUGUAAAGCUGACAGAUUUCGGAUUAUCUAAAAUUGAGAUACAUAGAGAUUUGGAGAUAUCUGACUUUGUCAACUGUACACCUAGUUUGAAUAUGAGGACACCUGGUCAACUAUUAUCACUAACUUCACAUUUGUCAUUUGGCUCAGGCGGUGGAGAUAGCAUGCAAAAUUCUGCAGUUUCAACCGAUACUUCUAAAUUGAGGGGUUUAUUUGGUGGCCCACAUGCUUCAGAAAAUUCACCAAUACUCGAUCACUCACAGUUGUCUGGAAUUCAUCCAUUUAUGAGUGCCGAAAGCAUUAAUUUAGAUGAUAAUACUCACGACUCAGGCUCAGAUUCUGUCAGUUCAUAUCACACAUGUGAAAGCUCAAAGAAUUCUAGGAGCAGCAAGUCAACAGAUAUGAGCAAUAACACUGGUUCCUCUGUGGCAGAGUCUGCAGCCUUUUCGGAUUCUCAACAUGAUCAGUCCACUUCGCCAUUAUGUAGGGGACAGUCUCUGAAAAGGAUUCCUAGUUUCAGAGCUAAGAAGAGAAAGCGAAUUUUAGAUUGCGAUGGUGACACGCCCACUGGUGUGGCCAGCCUUCUAGAAUCAAAAGUCAACCACAGUGGACUCACGCAGGAAAUAAUGGCGUUAGAGCUCAGUCAAAACACGCCAAAACGCAUGUCCAUUCACCCAACACCAGAUCGACGCAAAAAUCCAUUAAAAGGUGUCUUGAAAAAGAGAUGGGUUUCACAGAACGACAGUCAUCAUUUUAAUGUUGGAGUAAUUUUCUCAACACCAGUGUCGAAUAAUAAAUCGCAAGAAUCCAAGAAGAGGCUAAAAGAGACUAGAUUUAACCUUCCCAAAGAUGAUGUACCAGUUUCAAGCAUUCAAGAAAAAUCAAUAGUUUUUAGCAAGCAUAUUUCAAAUAGCUUAGAAAUAUUCCCAACUAGACGAUUGAGCAAAGGUGAAGGCAGCAGAUCCCCUACAGAACUAUGUAAAACCCCAUUAGCCACAGCACACACACCAUACAGAACUCCUAAAAGUGUCAGGAGAGGGAACCAGGUAUCGGAUCAGAGAAUUUUGGGUACUCCAGAUUAUUUAGCACCUGAAUUACUACUAAAACAAGGUCACGGCCCUCCCGUGGAUUGGUGGGCUCUGGGCGUAUGUCUCUACGAAUUCAUGACUGGCGUGCCGCCUUUCAACGAUGAGACACCUCAUGCAGUCUUCAACAACAUACUAUCACGAAAUAUCGAAUGGCCUGAAGACGACGAAGCCCUCUCGACAGAAGCUGUCAGCGCCAUAGAAGCAUUACUAACUAUGGAACCGCAGGAGAGGCCGGCGGCGGCACAAGUUAGAAACAUGCCCUUGUUCCGAAACAUAGACUGGGACAAUCAGCUAAGUGUCCAACCACCUUUUGUGCCUACUCCAGAUGACUUGCACGAUACAGGAUAUUUCCAAGCUCGCAACAUUUUGCAACAACUGCAAGUAUCCAAUUUCGACAUAUAGAUCCCUUAUCGCGGUGUAUAUGUCUCUCAAAUACUUAUAUUAUAUGAACAUUUAAUUUUGGGGACUCGCCGCGCUACGACGGAACAAGGAUUUCAUCGUGUAUCGUCAGGCUAUGUUGAACGGACCCCCAGAGUUUAUGUUGUGAUGCACACCAUAUUAUGCUGCGCAAAUAUUAUAGUCAAUUAAUGUGAUAUAUAAUUCUAUUAAACUAUUGUGUACAUAAUGUUAUUGUGUGGAUGCAAUAUGUAUUGAUAUUUUGAUAGGCUAUGAAUUUAUAUAAUCAAUGUUCGUUGUUGUUUAUUUAACUAUAUAAUAAUCAGUGUUCAUUUUAUUUAUAUCUGUAACAGAUUGUAUACAGGAAAUAAUAAAUAAAAACAUUGUGAAAA